rnacentral:rRNA from 1 species
GAUGAACGCUGGCGGCGUGCCUAAUACAUGCAAGUCGAGCGAACAGAUGAGAAGCUUGCUUCUCUGAUGUUAGCGGCGGACGGGUGAGUAACACGUGGGUAACCUACCUAUAAGACUGGGAUAACUCCGGGAAACCGGGGCUAAUACCGGAUAAUAUUUUGAACCGCAUGGUUCAAUAGUGAAAGACGGUUUCGGCUGUCACUUAUAGAUGGACCCGCGCCGUAUUAGCUAGUUGGUAAGGUAACGGCUUACCAAGGCGACGAUACGUAGCCGACCUGAGAGGGUGAUCGGCCACAAUGGAACUGAGACCCGGUCCAGACUCCUACGGGAGGCAGCAGUAGGGAAUCUUCCGCAAUGGGCGAAAGCCUGACGGAGCAACGCCGCGUGAGUGAUGAAGGUCUUCGGAUCGUAAAACUCUGUUGUUAGGGAAGAACAAAUUUGUUAGUAACUGAACAAGUCUUGACGGUACCUAACCAGAAAGCCACGGCUAACUACGUGCCAGCAGCCGCAGUAA